rnacentral:rRNA from 1 species
AGUGAACGCUGGCGGCAGGCCUAACACAUGCAAGUCGAACGGCAGCACAGUAAGAGCUUGCUCUUACGGGUGGCGAGUGGCGGACGGGUGAGGAAUACAUCGGAAUCUACUUUUUCGUGGGGGACAACGUAGGGAAACUUACGCUAAUACCGCAUACGACCUACGGGUGAAAGCAGGGGAUCUUCGGACCUUGCGCGAUUGAAUGAGCCGAUGUCGGAUUAGCUAGUUGGCGGGGUAAAGGCCCACCAAGGCGACGAUCCGUAGCUGGUCUGAGAGGAUGAUCAGCCACACUGGAACUGAGACACGGUCCAGACUCCUACGGGAGGCAGCAGUGGGGAAUAUUGGACAAUGGGCGCAAGCCUGAUCCAGCCAUACCGCGUGGGUGAAGAAGGCCUUCGGGUUGUAAAGCCCUUUUGUUGGGAAAGAAAAGCAGCAGGUUAAUACCCCGCUGUUCUGACGGUACCCAAAGAAUAAGCACCGGCUAACUUCGUG